rnacentral:rRNA from 1 species
GGAGGUAGAGCACUGUUUGGGUGAGGGGUCCAUCUCGGAUUACCAAUCUCAGAUAAACUCCGAAUGCCAACGAGAUAUAAUCGGCAGUCAGACUGCGAGUGCUAAGAUCCGUAGUCGAAAGGGAAACAGCCCAGACCACCAGCUAAGGUCCCAAAAUAUAUGUUAAGUGGAAAAGGAUGUGGGGUUGCACAGACAACUAGGAUGUUAGCUUAGAAGCAGCUAUUCAUUCAAAGAGUGCGUAAUAGCUCACUAGUCGAGUGACCCUGCGCCGAAAAUGUACCGGGGCUAAAACAUAUUACCGAAGCUGUGGAUGACACGUUAGUGUCAUGGUAGGAGAGCGUUCUAUGUGUGAAGAAGGUGUACCGUGAGGAGCGCUGGAACGCAUAGAAGUGAGAAUGCCGGUAUGAGUAGCGAAAGACAGGUGAGAAUCCUGUCCACCGUAAGACUAAGGUUUCCAGGGGAAGGCUCGUCCGCCCUGGGUUAGUCGGGACCUAAGGAGAGACCGAAAGGUGUAUCCGAUGGCCAACAGGUUGAUAUUCCUGUACUAGAGUAUAAAGUGAUGGAGGGACGCAGUAGGCUAACUAAAGCAGGCGAUUGGAAGAGCCUGUCUAAUCAGUGAGGUGUAAGAUGAGUCAAA